rnacentral:rRNA from 1 species
AUGGGCCCUCUUGUGGUAGACCCACAUGUCAUCGGUGUAACUAUUUACACUCCGGAGGACGGUGCCUAUAUCCUGGUAGUAGUACUAGUAGAAUUGAGAUUUAAUGCACUUUCUUCCCCGUCUUCCACUCUUCUUCCUCCUCUCUUCCCCAUUGUCGGCCGCACACCAUUUACCCCCGCUCACUGCUCGCCCGCCCUCGCCAUCUUCCUUGCAAACGCAAAUGCGCUGGCCUUCAUGAUUCCAGGACCUGGAAUCAUACCAGCUGAUGGUUUGAAGCACUCCUCUGGUUUGAAGGAUAGAUACCUUCCUGGGAUCAAGUGCAUCCUAACUCACCUGCUACCAUAUAACUGGAAUUACCGACGCAAGUCGAAGAAGGAUUGGCCGGUGCUGCCGGCUGGCGUCGAGUUCGAUCCCAUGGGUCAGGAGCUGAUCGAGCACCUUGAGGCCAAAGUGAGUGUUGACAGCGCGCGAUUUCAGUCUCUCAUCGAUUUGUUCAUACCAACCAUCGACAGCGAGCGAGGCAUAUGCUACACCCAACCUGAGAAACUUCCAGGUAUCACACUGAGUGGCCUAAGGAAGCAUUUCUUCCAGCGCAAUUCCAGGGCGUUAAAAAGGGGCACAUGGACGCGUCGCAAGAUACAGUCGGAGUGCGGCACGCACGCGAUGUGGCACAAGACCGGCAAUACCUUGCCUGUGAUGAACUUCGACCAGCAGAGGACCAACUGGGUGAUGCACCAGUACCACAUCGGGGACCUGGAGCAAGAGAAGGAGCGGGAGCUGGUCCUCUGCAAGAUUUUCUACCAGACGAACACUAGGGCCAGGAGUAGUUUGGUAUUGGUAGUUGUACUACCUUGUCGUCCGCAAGUUGGUAUUGUUGUUAACGAUCUUUUGGUCGAGCAAGUUUCAACUGGGCUGUAG